rnacentral:rRNA from 1 species
AUUGAACGCUGGCGGCAGGCUUAACACAUGCAAGUCGAACGGUAACAGGAAGCAGCUUGCUGCUUUGCUGACGAGUGGCGGACGGGUGAGUAAUGUCUGGGAAACUGCCCGAUGGAGGGGGAUAACUACUGGAAACGGUAGCUAAUACCGCAUAACGUCGCAAGACCAAAGAGGGGGACCUUAGGGCCUCUUGCCAUCGGAUGUGCCCAGAUGGGAUUAGCUAGUAGGUGGGGUAACGGCUCACCUAGGCGACGAUCCCUAGCUGGUCUGAGAGGAUGACCAGCCACACUGGAACUGAGACACGGUCCAGACUCCUACGGGAGGCAGCAGUGGGGAAUAUUGCACAAUGGGCGCAAGCCUGAUGCAGCCAUGCCGCGUGUAUGAAGAAGGCCUUCGGGUUGUAAAGUACUUUCAGCGGGGAGGAAGGGAGUAAAGUUAAUACCUUUGCUCAUUGACGUUACCCGCAGAAGAAGCACCGGCUAACUCCGUG